rnacentral:tRNA from 1 species
CCCUGUAGCUCAGUUGGUAGAGCAUGGUGUUUGCAACGCCAGGGUUGUGGGUUCGCUUCCCACAGGGG